rnacentral:rRNA from 1 species
AGAGUUUGAUCCUGGCUCAGGACGAACGCUGGCGGCGCGCCUAACACAUGCAAGUCGAACGAGCGAGAGAGAGCUUGCUUUCUCGAGCGAGUGGCGAACGGGUGAGUAACGCGUGAGGAACCUGCCUCAAAGAGGGGGACAACAGUUGGAAACGACUGCUAAUACCGCAUAAGCCCACGACCCGGCAUCGGGUAGAGGGAAAAGGAGCAAUCCGCUUUGAGAUGGCCUCGCGUCCGAUUAGCUAGUUGGUGAGGUAACGGCCCACCAAGGCGACGAUCGGUAGCCGGACUGAGAGGUUGAACGGCCACAUUGGGACUGAGACACGGCCCAGACUCCUACGGGAGGCAGCAGUGGGGAAUAUUGCACAAUGGGGGAAACCCUGAUGCAGCGACGCCGCGUGGAGGAAGAAGGUCUUCGGAUUGUAAACUCCUGUUGUUGAGGAAGAUAAUGACGGUACUCAACAAGGAAGUGACGGCUAACUACGUGCCAGCAGCCGCGGUAAAACGUAGGUCACAAGCGUUGUCCGGAAUUACUGGGUGUAAAGGGAGCGCAGGCGGGAAGACAAGUUGGAAGUGAAAUCCAUGGGCUCAACCCAUGAACUGCUUUCAAAACUGUUUUUCUUGAGUAGUGCAGAGGUAGGCGGAAUUCCGGUGUAGCGGUGGAAUGCGUAGAUAUCGGGAGGAACACCAGUGGCGAAGGCGGCCUACUGGGCCCUGACGCUGAGGCUCGAAAGUGUGGGUAGCAAACAGGAAUUAGACCCGGUAGUCCCCACUGUAAACGAUGAUUACUAGGUGUUGGGGAUUGACCCUUCAGUGCCGCAGUUACCAAUAAGUAAUCCACCUGGGGAGUACGACCGCAAGGUUGAAACUCAAAGGAAUUGACGGGGGCCCGCACAAGCAGUGGAGUAUGUGGUUUAAUUCGACGCAACGCGAAGACCUUACCAAGUCUUGACAUCCUGCGACGCACAUAGAAAUAUGUGUUUCCUUCGGGACGCAGAGACAGGUGGUGCAUGGUUGUCGUCAGCUCGUGUCGUGAGAUGUUGGGUUAAGUCCCGCAACGAGCGCAACCCUUAUGGUCAGUUACUACGCAAGAGGACUCUGGCCAGACUGCCGUUGACAAAACGGAGGAAGGUGGGGAUGACGUCAAAUCAUCAUGCCCUUUAUGACUUGGGCUACACACGUACUACAAUGGCGUUAAACAAAGAGAAGCAAGACCGCGAGGUGGAGCAAAACUCAGAAACAACGUCCCAGUUCGGACUGCAGGCUGCAACUCGCCUGCACGAAGUCGGAAUUGCUAGUAAUCGCAGAUCAGCAUGCUGCGGUGAAUACGUUCCCGGGCCUUGCACACACCGCCCGUC